rnacentral:rRNA from 1 species
GGGGAAUCUUCCGCAAUGGGCGAAAGCCUGACGGAGCAAUACCGCGUGAGGGAUGAAAGCCUGUGGGUUGUAAACCUCUUUUCUCAAGGAAGAAGUUCUGACGGUACUUGAGGAAUAAGCAUCGGCUAACUCUGUGCCAGCAGCCGCGGUAAUACAGAGGAUGCAAGCGUUAUCCGGAAUCACUAGGCAUAAAGCGUCUGUAGGUUGCCUACCAAGUCUGCUGUUAAAGAUCAGGGCCUAACCCUGGGAAAGCAGUGGAAACUAGUAGGCUUGAGUGUGGUAGAGGUAGAGGGAAUUCCUGGUGUAGCGGUGAAAUGCGUAGAUAUUAGGAAGAACACCAAUGGCGAAAGCACUCUACUGGGCCAUAACUGACACUGAGAGACGACAGCUAGGGGAGCAAAUGGGAUUAGAUACCCCAGUAGUC